GACGAACGCUGGCGGCGUGCUUAACACAUGCAAGUCGAACGAUGAACCACUUCGGUGGGGAUUAGUGGCGAACGGGUGAGUAACACGUGGGCAAUCUGCCCUUCACUCUGGGACAAGCCCUGGAAACGGGGGCUAAUACCGGAUCUGAGCCUGGGAGGCAUCCCCUGGGUUGUAAAGCUCCGGCGGUGAAGGAUGAGCCCGCGGCCUAUCAGCUUGUUGGUGAGGUAAUGGCUCACCAAGGCGACGACGGGUAGCCGGCCUGAUGAGGGCGACCGGCCACACUGGGACUGAGACACGGCCCAGACUCCUACGGGAGGCAGCAGUGGGGAAUAUUGCACAAUGGGCGAAAGCCUGAUGCAGCGACGCCGCGUGAGGGAUGACGGCCUUCGGGUUGUAAACCUCUUUCAGCAGGGAAGAAGCGAGAGUGACGGUACCUGCAGAAGAAGCGCCGGCUAACUACGUGCCAGCCGCCGCGGUAA
rnacentral:rRNA from 1 species